rnacentral:rRNA from 1 species
AGUGAACGCUGGCGGUAGGCCUAACACAUGCAAGUCGAACGGCAGCACAGUAAGAGCUUGCUCUUACGGGUGGCGAGUGGCGGACGGGUGAGGAAUACAUCGGAAUCUACUUUUUCGUGGGGGAUAACGUAGGGAAACUUACGCUAAUACCGCAUACGACCUACGGGUGAAAGCAGGGGAUCUUCGGACCUUACGCGAUUGAAUGAGCCGAUGUCGGAUUAGCUAGUUGGCGGGGUAAAGGCCCACCAAGGCGACGAUCCGUAGCUGGUCUGAGAGGAUGAUCAGCCACACUGGAACUGAGACACGGUCCAGACUCCUACGGGAGGCAGCAGUGGGGAAUAUUGGACAAUGGGCGCAAGCCUGGUCCAGCCAUACCGCGUGGGUGAAGAAGGCCUUCGGGUUGUAAAGCCCUUUUGUUGGGAAAGAAAAGCAGCAGGUUAAUACCCCGCUGUUCUGACGGUACCCAAAGAAUAAGCACCGGCUAACUUCGUG